rnacentral:rRNA from 1 species
GACGACCGCUGGCGGCGUGCCUAAUACAUGCAAGUCGAACGCAGUGGGGACGGGUGCGUAACACGUGGGUAACCUCCCCUCAGAGGGGAUAACACUUGGAAACAGGUGCUAAACCGAUACUGAUGGAUGGACACGGGGUGCAUUAGCUAGUUGGGUAGGUAACGGCUAACCAAGGCCAAGAUGCAUAGCCGACCUGAGAGGGUGAUCGGCCACACUGGGACUGAGACACGGCCCAGAUUCCUACGUGAGGCAGCAGUAGGGAAUCUUCGGCAAUUGACGAAAGUCUGACCGAGCAACGCCGCGUGAGUGAAGAAGGUUUUCGGAUCGUAAGUCUCUGGUGUAAGAGAAGCGGUAUCUAACCAGAAAGGCACGGCUAACUACGUUCCAGCAGCCGCGGUAAUUC